AUUGAAAGAUGGCGGAAGGAGGAACACAGGCAAGUCGAACGGUAACAGGAAGCAGCUUGCUGCUUCGCUGACGAGUGGCGGACGGGUGAGGAAUGUCUGGGAAACUGCCUGAUGGAGGGGGAUAACUACUGGAAACGGUAGCUAAUACCGCAUAACGUCGCAAGACCAAAGAGGGGGACCUUAGGGCCUCUUGCCAUCGGAUGUGCCCAGAUGGGAUUAGCCAGUAGGUGGGGUAACGGCUCACCUAGGCGACGAUCCCUAGCUGGUCUGAGAGGAUGACCAGCCACACUGGAACUGAGACACGGUCCAGACUCCUACGGGAGGCAGCAGUGGGGAAUAUUGCACAAUGGGCGCAAGCCUGAUGCAGCCAUGCCGCGUGUAUGAAGAAGGCCUUCGGGUUGUAAAGUCCUUUCAGCGGGGAGGAAGGGAGUAAAGUUAAUACCUUUGCUCAUUGACGUUACCCGCAGAAGAAGCACCGGCUCCCUCCGUG
rnacentral:rRNA from 1 species